rnacentral:rRNA from 1 species
CAGUAGCCGCGGUAAUACGUAGGGUGCUAGCGUUGUUCGGAAUUACUGGGCGUAAAGCGCACGUAGGCGGCUUUGUAAGUCAGAGGUGAAAGCCUGGAGCUCAACUCCAGAACUGCCUUUGAGACUGCAUCGCUUGAAUCCAGGAGAGGUGAGUGGAAUUCCGAGUGUAGAGGUGAAAUUCGUAGAUAUUCGGAAGAACACCAGUGGCGAAGGCGGCUCACUGGACUGGUAUUGACGCUGAGGUGCGAAAGCGUGGGGAGCAAACAGGAUUAGAUACCCCUGUAGUCCCUGUCUCUUAUAC